UACGAGUGCCUCAAGCGUUAUCCGGAAUCACUGGGCGUAAAGGGUGCGUAGGCGGGUCUUUAAGUCAGGGGUGAAAUCCUGGAGCUCAACUCCAGAACUGCCUUUGAUACUGAGGAUCUUGAGUUCGGGAGAGGUGAGUUGAACUGCGAGUGUAGAGGUGAAAUUCGUAGAUAUUCGCAAGAACACCAGUGGCGAAGGCGGCUCACUGGCCCGAUACUGACGCUGAGGCACGAAAGCGUGGGGAGCAAACAGG
rnacentral:rRNA from 1 species